UCGUCUCAACUUAAAGCAGCCGAUACGAAUACAUUGAUCGCAUCAAUCCGGGUUCUCCUGGCGCGUCUGUCAACCGCAGGUGUUUCCUCCCUCGCCUGAUAUGGUGAUGCGCCCUCCUAGCCUCGCUCCUCCUCAAAGAGAGCGAGGCUUUUU
rnacentral:sRNA from 1 species